AAAAGCAAUUUUCAGGGUCAACUUGGUUAUUUUCUGAGGUUUUGCCUUUUAGGGGAGAAUCUAGUUGCAUGCAUUGAUUGAGAGGCACAGGAGGUUGUGAGAACGCCGGAGCGACAUUAUUGGCCGGAGAGCUUCUAAAAGGGGGUACGUUCAACACAUCUGUGACCGUUGGGCUCCAUUCUUUUGUAGUAAAUUCUUCACUCAUGGUGGUGUUCACCUGAUUGACAAUUGCCAGUUUUUGGAUUUCUUGCUUCGGGUUUGCUCCCCGCUGGGAAUCUUUGUCUACUUUCGCAUGAUUUUGGCUCUGGGGCUUUCUGGGAGAUGCUGCUUUAAGCCAUGGACCAAAUCUAGGCUUUUGGUUUUGUGGAUAUUCCAUCUCCAAGGGUGUCUUUGGCUGGAUGCAGUUUCGGCCUAUAUGCCCAAUCAAUCCGCAGUUGAAACAAACAUCAGGGAUUCUUUCAUAUCGAACACCAACUCAGUAAGUGCUUCCAUCUUUCCUUGUGUUGUUAAAACCUGGUAUGAGGGGCUUGGUAAUUUCAGUGUUGACUUAAUUCGAAGGUACGUUCUGAACUGGACACUUUCUUGCUUGUCGUUAUCCAUUCCAUGAAUUCUCCCAGCAUAUUCCCAAUG
rnacentral:misc_RNA from 1 species